CAAAAACUUGUUCUCUGUUAAGGUGACAUAUCAAAGUUUGGUAUGUCAUGUGUAACAUAAAUGUCAUUCUCUUCCUGUUAGAUUUGUAUGUUGUUUGAUAAUGCAUAAACCCAGUCAAUCGCAAACCUUGCAUGUCAUAAGUAUUGAGACCCCUGCUUACCAAAAUCACCACCAUUGUCCAUGGUAGAGGAGACCGGGGACCAAGUGGGGGAUAGUACCCAUUGUUAGAAAACCAGAAAAUUCAGCAAUUCUAAUAACUUCAACAGGCAUUGCUCUUCCUGCCUUGCUUCUCAUGUUCGUUUUUUCUAGACUGGAAAGAGUUUAAUAAUGCUUACCAAAGAACAUUAUUUUCGGUCAGAAAGUGCAGUAAAUUACUCAUUGCUUGUUGUUCGAUGCUACCUACCAAUUUUACCGUCCUUAUCACUGUUAUAUAUGCCUAGCAUUUCACUGUAAUUCAUAUCCGAGUUGAACUCUCAGUUUCUUUCGUACGAGUAGUUUCCUUUAUUCAUAAUUUUUUUGGGUCUCCAUUGAUUGCUUGAGUUAUCUUUCGUGAGUUGUAAUCCAUUGCCAGAUUUUUACCUUUUCCUUUCUUCUCUGUCUUUUUUCAUUUUUUUUCGUCCUUUUUUUCAUUAUUUACUGCAGAAUUUUCCUCGAUGUUAUUUUUUUCGGGGAAAGUGAAUUUUCAUUCAUCCGCUGUCUCAUCAGUAUUUCUUGUAUUUGCAGUGCAUCUCCUUUUCUAUAAUGCGUUUUUUUUCUUAUAUGAUUAGGGAUGGACCAAGAUCAUACCAGUCAGCGUGCAACUUGCAAUGGCUUCUUGAGGAGACGUGGAGCGGAUAAAACGUAUGGAAUAAAGCUGGUUCGAGGUAAACUCUUUUUUCCUCUCAUCCACAUCGUAAUAAUAAUUUCUUUUAUAUUAUUAUUCAGAUGUUAUAUGGGACAGUUCUUGCGUAGAUGUCUUUAUUCUCGAAGCAAAUAAAAAAGGAUAAAUUAGAUUCUUGUUAUAUUUUAUUCUGUCUUAUUCUUUGAAAUCAACAUGUAUAUAAAUUUAUAUAUUGUUAACCAAGCCAUAUAUAAAUUGGUUUCAUACCAUCUCAAACCCAGCCGAACUGAGAAUUUUUAAAACUCGUGGGCUUGUGUGCUGACAAAAUAUCAUGCCCCUGUUGUCGAAGAACAAGAGAAAGAAAGAAAAGGCUGCAAUGACUUGUACUUGCUAAAUUUGAAAAAGAAGGAAAGCUACGGCUAUGAUGAAAUAACCCUUAAAAAAGAUGCUAUUGCUAUUAUAAUAAUAAUGAAUGACGCUCGUUGGAUUUUCCGAUACUCCAGGACUCUAUACACUUGAAAAGUAGAUAAAUUGGCCUUGAUCGGUAAACUAGCAUAUCUGUUGUUAUCGUGAUGGAUAUGUUGUCCUUGCCACCAUCAUAUGGAAUUUUUAUAUUGGCAUAUUAAAUACCACACGACACAUUACGAGCCUUGUGGUGGAGAAACCAUUUCGAAGAAAUUUGAAUUUUUUUUUAAGGUUAGGCCUCCCCUUUCAUUCUACCUCCACCGGAACAAGGCUUUUUUUUUUGCAAAUAAAUUACCUCCACUUGCUCAAGACAUGGUUCUUAACCACACCUUUAAUCUACAGGCCAAAGAUAAGUUGUUUAGCCUCCAAGACUAUCUUCUUCUUAACUAUGAUAUGUCUUUUUUUUGUUUUCUUUGAUUAGUAUAAAAAAAUAAGUUUUCUUUUAAAUAUAUUAUUUUGAUAUAUUUUUAAAUAAAAAAUAUUUUGAAAAACAAUUAUUACAGUAAUAAAAACAGACUCUAUAACCUUUUUUUUGUUAACAGUGGGUGUCCGGGCCAGCUUACGCGCACCUCGACUAAUCCUUCAAGACCCUGAAAUUAACGACUAUAUAAACCUUUAGUAGCCCUGAGG
rnacentral:lncRNA from 1 species